rnacentral:rRNA from 1 species
UGCCAUCCGCCGCGGUAAUACGGAGGGUGCAAGCGUUGUUCGGAAUUAUUGGGCGUAAAGCGCGUGUAGGCGGUUCGUUAAGUCUGAUGUGAAAGCCCGGGGCUCAACCCCGGAAGUGCAUUGGAAACUGGCGAACUUGAGUACGGGAGAGGAAAGCGGAAUUCCAAGUGUAGCGGUGAAAUGCGUAGAUAUUUGGAAGAACACCGGUGGCGAAGGCGGCUUUCUAGUCUAUUCCUGACGCUGAGACGCGAAAGCGUGGGGAGCGAACAGGAUUAGAUA